rnacentral:rRNA from 1 species
UACGUAGGGGGCGAACGUUGCUCGGAAUUACUGGGCGUAAAGGGUGUGUAGGUGGCUGAGCAAGUCGUUGAUGAAAUCCCGAGGCUUACCCUCGGAACUGUCUUCGAAACUGCUCAGCUUGAGGAUAGUUGAGGAGAACGGAAUUCCCGGUGGAGCGGUGAAAUGCGUAGAUAUCGGGAGGAACACCAGAGGCGAAGGCGGUUCUCUGGGCUAUUCCUGACACUGAAACACGAAAGCUAGGGGAGCAAACGGGAUUAGAUACCCCCGUA